rnacentral:rRNA from 1 species
UCAAAAAUCUGUUUAUGCAGUCUGAGUAUACGAGAAUAUGAAACAAAACUUUCAACAACGGAUCUCUUGGUUCUGGCAUCGAUGAAGAACGCAGCGAAAUGCGAUAAGUAAUGUGAAUUGCAGAAUUCAGUGAAUCAUCGAAUCUUUGAACGCACAUUGCGCCCUCUGGUAUUCCGGGGGGCAUGCCUGUUCGAGCGUCAUUA